UGAAAUUCGUAACAUCUGAAACAUCUUAAGUGAAAAAAGAAACAUGAUGUUGUUAAAGUCGUGUGACGAAGAACCGCCACAUAAUUUUUCUUUUAAUUGAUUAAAUAUGAAUCAUAGGAAAAACGAAUCUUAUAUUAAAUAGAGAGAUCUUGAUUUUAUUCAAUUCUAAAAUUUGAUUACAAACAAUGUUUCAUGGUAUUUAAAAAACAAAGCAAAAACAAAUCGUGGGAGUCUGGCCUACGUUUUAAAAACUACUUGUGCCGAGA